GCUACAAUAAACAUGAAGAAAGUUACAAGGGCACAGACAGUCUUCACCAGACAACGUGUGCACCUAGCCCCAGUCAACAGCCCCUAAAUUUAGAGCCACAAUCAUUGAAGGCACAUGACAGGGUCUCCAAAGUGGGGAGCCAGCUCCUGGGACUUGCCUCAUCGUUGGCCUGUGUUCUAGACUUGGCUCAUCUAAAAAGGCUCAUUCCUGCUGUCCUGACUCCCUGACUAUUGAUGUAAUAAAAAGGACCAAAACCAACGUGGGAGCAAAGGGCUUAUUGGGUUUAUAUGUCCAGAUCACAGACCAUCAUUGAGAGAAGUCAGAGCAGGAACUCAAGCAGGGCAGGAACCUGGAAGCAGGAGCCAAAGCAGAGGAGGGCUGCUCACUGGCUGCUCCUCACCGAUGACUCAGCCUGCUUUUAAUACAACCCAGGACCAAGUGCACUGCACCAGGGUAGCACCACCCACAAUGGGCUGGAUCCUUCACAUCAAUCAUGAGUCAACAAAAUGCCCCCAUAGAAUUGCCUACAGGCCAAUCUAAUGACAGCACUUUCUGAAAUGAGGUUCCCCUCUUCCCAGAUAACUUUAGCUUGUAUAAAUUUGACAAAACAAAACAACAAAACUUUAAGAACCUAACCAGCUCACCUGCCUAUCCCCAUAGUUUGAGCCCUGGGAACAAGAAGAACCAUUUGCUUUCACAGGACCUGGGGAACAAACAUCUCCAAGAAGCCAGAAUAGAGCUAGCUUAAAGACUAGCAGAGGGGGGACUCCAGAGAUGGCUCAGUGGUUAAAAGCACUGACUGCUUUUCCAGAGGUCCUGAGUUCAAUUCCCAGCAACUACAUGGUGACUCACAACCAUCUGUAAUGGGAUCUGAUGCCCUCUUCUGGUGUUGUCUGAAGACAGCUACAGUGUACUCAUAUACAUACAAAAAUAAACCUUAAAAACAAACAAACAAAAAAACAACACAACAACAACAAAAACUAGCAGAGGAAUGGUAGUGCAUGCCUUUAGUCUCAGGAGGCAGAGGCAGGCACAUUUUUGUGAGUUUGAGACUAUCCUGGUCUACAUGGUAAAUUCCAGAGUAGGGCUAUGUAGAGAGAUUCUGUCUCAAAAAAAAAAAAAAAAAAAAAAAAAAAAAAAAAGUCAGGUGUUUAAUCCCACAACUUGGGAAGCAGAGGCAGACAGAUGUCUGCGAGGCCAGCCUGGUCUGUAGAGUCAGGACAGCCAAGGCUACACAGAGAAACCCUGUCUUGAAAAACCAAAGCUGGGGUGAGAGUACCAGGCCUCUAGAAAAGAGAUGGAAGUGAAAGGCCAGGAGAGGCUGAUCAGGCUCACAAUCGAUGUCCCUAACUUUUUUUUUUGGAGACAGGAUUCCUCUGUAUAGCCCUGGCUGUCCUGGAACUCACUUGGUGGACCAGACUGGCUUUGAACUCAGAAAUCCUCCUGCCUUUGCCUCCCGAGUGCUGGGAUCAAAGGCGUGUGCCACCACGCCCGGCCAAUGUCCCUAACUCUUUUGGUUCCAUUUGGAAGUUGGGCCCACUGAGGGCAAAGACUUCUCCAAACACAAAUGAAACUGAGGAGAAAGGAGAGCAAGGGUCAGGGCCUCCCAGCCCUGAGCUGAGGAAGAGCUUGUAAGUAAGGAGAGGCACACUGAGAAGAGUUGUCACUCGGGAGAGUGGGAGUCAGGAGGCCUCCACUGUUGUCCAGCUGCAUGGCUUACUUUGUGUGGCUUCCUCUUGGCCUCUGUUCCUUUCCAGCAAAAGAAAAUGGUUUAUUGGUAAGAACUCAGAGGAUCUUUAGAGCUCAGGAUUGUGAUGUCUGGACUCCACCAAUGCCUGGGCUCUUAGGAUUUGGAGUGUUGGGAAGGCUCUAAACACCAGAAGGAACUCCAGAACAGCCAGGCCUGAGAAAGGGGUAUGGAGCCUGUGGAAAAGCUGCAUUAUAAUCGAUAGCCUCAUGAAUAAGUGAACAGGCAAUGUAACACAUCUGGCCUCCAGCACAGAGCUUCCUCAGGAGAACGGAGCCUCGACCCACUUCUGCUGUCCAAUCUGACUUUCUUCAGAAGACUCCGAAGGAAGUGAACUCUCGGGGUCAUCUCAGGCAAUGCCCCUGCCUCUGUGCUGCCCUCGAUAUGCCUUCAUCAAGUGCUCAGAAGCUGAGAAAUGUGCUUUCUCCACCACCUCAGCCUGGAGAGGCCACUCUCUCCUGUCAGCAUCCCACAGAAAGCUGGGACAGAUGUGCUUGCUAGCCUAGUGACCUUUUUGUGUGACCAGAGACUUUUUUCUGGCACUGAUUCUCCCCCCAGACCCUUAUCAUAAGGGUGUUCUCCUCAGCCCAUCUAUAGAAUUAAUCUUUAUGAACUAGACCAAGAGUUUCUUGGAGUCAUGUCUGAUCUGUAUUUAGUUUACUUUGUUCCUCAAGGAGACACACGGACGCUUUGUUGUGCAAGAGGGAUUGAGUUCUUUAUCACCAACAUGGUUUUCACCAAAUUGUGCUGUGCUUAAGUAUGCCUAAAAUAAACUACUUGGCUUCAGACUCCAGACUCUGAA